AGCAAAAUGAGGAAGUCAUACCAUCAGAAAGUUCAUGUUGAUUACACACAUAUGGUCUUCAAAGUUCUCUGAUUGCU
rfam:Oryza brachyantha chromosome 2, whole genome shotgun sequence.